rnacentral:rRNA from 1 species
GGUGUGACUGCGUACCUUUUGUAUAAUGGGUCAGCGACUUAUAUUCUGUAGCAAGGUUAACCGUAUAGGGGAGCCGAAGGGAAACCGAGUCUUAACUGGGCGUUAAGUUGCAGGGUAUAGACCCGAAACCCGGUGAUCUAGCCAUGGGCAGGUUGAAGGUUGGGUAACACUAACUGGAGGACCGAACCGACUAAUGUUGAAAAAUUAGCGGAUGACUUGUGGCUGGGGGUGAAAGGCCAAUCAAACCGGGAGAUAGCUGGUUCUCCCCGAAAGCUAUUUAGGUAGCGCCUCGUGAACUCAUCUUCGGGGGUAGAGCACUGUUUCGGCUAGGGGGCCAUCCCGGCUUACCAACCCGAUGCAAACUACGAAUACCGAAGAAUGUUAUCACGGGAGACACACGGCGGGUGCUAACGUCCGUCGUGAAGAGGGAAACAACCCAGACCGCCAGCUAAGGUCCCAAAGUCAUGGUUAAGUGGGAAACGAUGUGGGAAGGCACAGACAGCCAGGAUGUUGGCUUAGAAGCAGCCAUCAUUUAAAGAAAGCGUAAUAGCUCACUGGUCGAGUCGGCCUGCGCGGAAGAUGUAACGGGGCUAAACCAUGCACCGAAGCUGCGGCAGCGACACUAUGUGUUGUUGGGUAGGGGAGCGUUCUGUAAGCCGUUGAAGGUG